UACCCAGCAACCCCUAUCUCUACCUCCUCGUGGUACCGGCCGGAAACUAUGAGCAACCUUAGGGAAGAUCAGGUAAUCAACCCCGGUGGGAACUUUGGUCGAAUGCUGACUGGGAAGG
rnacentral:ribozyme from 1 species